CUAUAUUUCACUUUAUUAAAUUAAAAAUAAUAUUUAUAUUAUUGCUUAUUUUCACAGCAGAUUCAUCAUGGGGCUCUCCUCAUCAUUUUACAUGGACUCAUCCUCUUCCAUGGCUUUCUUUUGUCGACGGUGAUCCCCAUUUUAUGGUACAUGUGCCCCAAUCUGAUAUAUACGUUUGCUUUAACGUCAUGGGACUCCCUGGUGAUAUUUACCGUCUCAUCCAAGAUUCUGAACACGGUA